UUAGUAGCGGCGAGUGAGCGGCAAAAGCUCAAAUUUGAAAUCUGGCACUUUCAGUGUCCGAGUUGUAAUUUGAAGAAGGUAUCUUUGGGUCUGGCUCUUGUCUAUGUUUCUUGGAACAGAACGUCACAGAGGGUGAGAAUCCCGUGCGAUGAGAUGACCCAGACCUAUGUAAAGUUCCUUCGAAGAGUCGAGUUGUUUGGGAAUGCAGCUCUAAGUGGGUGGUAAAUUCCAUCUAAAGCUAAAUAUUGGCGAGAGACCGAUAGCGAACAAGUACAGUGAUGGAAAGAUGAAAAGAACUUUGAAAAGAGAGUGAAAAAGUACGUGAAAUUGUUGAAAGGGAAGGGCUUGAGAUCAGACUUGGUAUUUUGUAUGUUACUCUCUCGGGGGUGGCCUCUACAGUUUACCGGGCCAGCAUCAGUUUGGGCGGUAGGACAAUUGCAAAGAAAUGUGGCACUGCCUCGGUAGUGUGUUAUAGUCUUUGUCGAUACUGCCAGCCUAGACUGAGGACUGCGGCUUCGGCCUAGGAUGUUGGCAUAAUGAUCUUAAGUCGCCCGUCUUGAA
rnacentral:rRNA from 1 species